UUGAACGCUGGCGGCAGGCCUAACCCAUGCAAGUCGAGCGGAUGAAGGGAGCUUGCUCCUGGAUUCAGCGGCGGACGGGUGAGUAAUGCCUAGGAAUCUGCCUGGUAGUGGGGGAUAACGUCCGGAAACGGGCGCUAAUACCGCAUACGUCCUGAGGGAGAAAGUGGGGGAUCUUCGGACCUCACGCUAUCAGAUGAGCCUAGGUCGGAUUAGCUAGUUGGUGGGGUAAAGGCCUACCAAGGCGACGAUCCGUAACUGGUCUGAGAGGAUGAUCAGUCACACUGGAACUGUGACACGGUCCAGACUCCUACGGGAGGCAGCAGUGUGGAAUAUUGGACAAUGGGCGAAAGCCUGAUCCAGCCAUGCCGCGUGUGUGAAGAAGGUCUUCGGAUUGUAAAGCACUUUAAGUUGGGAGGAAGGGCAGUAAGUUAAUACCUUGCUGUUUUGACGUUACCAACAGAAUAAGCACCGGCUAACUUCGUG
rnacentral:rRNA from 1 species